ACUUUGAUGGCUGAAUAAGCGAAAAACUGUAAAUUUUUUCAUGGUUAUUAAACCUCAAAGUA
rnacentral:tRNA from 1 species